GAUAAAGUGUGGCGCAUGCCACGCUUUUGAAAGAUGGUUUCGGCUAUCGCUUACAGAUGGGCCCGCGGUGCAUUAGCUAGUUGGUAGGGUAAUGGCCUACCAAGGCAACGAUGCAUAGCCGACCUGAGAGGGUGAUCGGCCACACUGGGACUGAGACACGGUCCAGACUCCUACGGGAGGCAGCAGUAGGGAAUCUUCCGCAAUGGACGAAAGUCUGACGGAGCAACGCCGCGUGUAUGAAGAAGGUUUUCGGAUCGUAAAGUACUGUUGUUAGAGAAGAACAAGGAUAAGAGUAACUGCUUGUCCCUUGACGGUAUCUAACCAGAAAGCCACGGCUAACUACGUGCCAGCAGCCGCGGUAAUACGUAGGUGGCAAGCGUUGUCCGGAUUUCUUGGGCGGACAGGGCGCGCAGGCGGUCUUGUAAGUAGGAUGUGAAAGCCCCCGGCUGAACCGGGGAGGGUCAUUGGAAACUGGAAGACUGGAGUGCAGAAGAGGAGAGUGGAAUUCCGCGUGUAGCGGUGAAAUGCGUAGAUAUGUGGAGGAACACCAGUGGCGAAGGCGACUCUCUGGUCUGUAACUGACGCGGCGGCGCGAAAGCGUGGGGAGCAAACAGGAUUAGAUACCC
rnacentral:rRNA from 1 species